CAUAAGAACAGGAAAUAAUCUCCUUGAAGUUGGCUUCUUUCAUUUUAAACGUCCUUGUUUCCACGACGAGUAUUUAGGCCACAUUGAGAAUAAAAAAAUAAAAGUAAAAGCCAUACAUUCAUGAGAGUAAAAUCUAACGUUAUGAAAAAAAGUAAUAAUUAUUUUAAAAAAUAAAUUCCUAAUAUUCGUACAAACGCGUCAUCCCAUGCAUCGUGUGUCCAAGUCUCGAACGGAAACUUUAAAAACCACUCUUUAAACCACUUAUGAUCAAAUGUCUAAUAAAUGCUGUUAUCUUGGUGGUAAAGACAACUUUUCAUUGUCCUGAUGCUUAUUAGGUAUCACCUUUUUUUUGUGAACCCAACACGAACAUAUAACUGCACGAGAUUCUCCAGGUUUCUUAUUCUGACACACUUGUUAACAAUGUGUGCUCUUCUCUCAGCUCCUCCAAAACAUGCCAACUAAAUUUAUGAUUUGAAUCCCCUAAACUGAUUACUUUUUCAUCAUAAAUUAAUGAUUUUUUUACCGUAAUACUACGGCUAUUUUCUCAUGAAUUUACGACAUGUUCAUUCUCAUAAAUUCAGUUCUAUAGUGUAGUGGUUAUCACGGCUUCCUAACAUGUCUACACUCAAAAAGAGUUCCAACCACAGUACAACCAUAUACUACGUCCUCCUCGUGUAAGUCUCUUUGGAUAAUAGUGUUUAAUGGGACCCCUAAUACUACGUCUUAACAUCCUCAGUGUCGUGGAGGAAAAGACUUCGAUGAGGUUUCCAAUAAGUCGUAGAAUUUUCCAGAUCUGAGCCCCUCUUGUCUGUUUCACUCUGGAGAUCAUAUUGUGAUGGGUCACGGAGCAGUUCCUAGCUGCCACUUUACUGCACCUCCUCUGUCAACACUGGGACACCGCCCAGCUCACACAGCGAGGGCUUCUGAAUGCCACCACUCUUCUACUUUAGCAGUACUUCCUGUGGCAGACCUGUCGCUCUUGCUUUGCACAGCACAACAUCAUGAAGUCAACAUCAUGUUUACUGGCAUGGCCUGGAGGGUUACUGCCCAUUAGACAGUGUUCUGUAGGUUAGGCUCCACAGCCUGUGACAACACUGACUCUGAAACAGCCUGCCUCCAUAAACAUGAGUGAAACUCAGGCUGCAUCUCGCAUUUCUUAGUCAAGUAGAGCACACAUAUGCAUGAACAUUCUGGAAUGUUGGUCCUGUUCCUGUUUCUGAUAAGGCCGUUCUGAUGCAAUGCUAGGAGCGUAUUGAUAAAAAGUUUUCUUCGGUCAUUUCAUUGUGUUUUUCUCUUUUUUGGGGGGAAUUUAGAUAUAAUAUACAUAGAUUUGGUAGACAAUUCACACACUCUUCUUCUGUGUCUCUCUCUCUGUCUCUCCCCUCUCUAGCCCAAAAAGUGUGAAAUAAAUAACUCUUUCCUACAGUGGAGACCCCCUCUGGAGAGCUCAAUGGUGGUUUAAAAACCUCUCGUUCUCUUAUUCAUUGAAGAAGUUUAUUCAUAGGUUGUUCCUAAAAUGUUCUACAUGACCCUGUGAUUCAGAUACGUUUGUUUCUCUGUAGCCACGGUCGUGUUUUUCUGACAGAAAAAGCCCGCAGCUCAGGUUCUCAGUAUCGGGUCACAUCUGGACGCUGUUGAAAAAAAAAAAAAAAAA